rnacentral:rRNA from 1 species
UACGAAGGGGGCUAGCGUUGCUCGGAAUUACUGGGCGUAAAGGGAGCGUAGGCGGCUAGUUUAGUCAGAGGUGAAAGCCCAGGGCUCAACCCUGGAAUUGCCUUUGAUACUGGCUAUCUUGAGUGUGGGAGAGGUUAGCGGAACUCCGAGUGUAGAGGUGAAAUUCGUGGAUAUUCGGAAGAACACCAGUGGCGAAGGCGGCUAACUGGCCCAUUACUGACGCUGAGGCUCGAAAGCGUGGGGAGCAAACAGG